AUUGAACGCUGGCGGAAUGCUUUACACAUGCAAGUCGAGCGGCAGCACGGGGGCAACCCUGGUGGCGAGCGGCGAACGGGUGAGUAAUACAUCGGAACAUGCCCAGUCGUGGGGGAUAACACUUCGAAAGAAGUGCUAAUACCGCAUACGUCCUGAGGGAGAAAGCGGGGGAUCUUCGGACCUCGCGCGAUUGGAGUGGCCGAUGUCAGAUUAGCUAGUUGGUGGGGUAAAGGCCUACCAAGGCAACGAUCUGUAGCUGGUCUGAGAGGAUGAGCAGCCACACUGGGACUGAGACACGGCCCAGACUCCUACGGGAGGCAGCAGUGGGGAAUUUUGGACAAUGGGGGCAACCCUGAUCCAGCCGUUCCGCGUGAGUGAAGAAGGCCUUCGGGUUGUAAAGCUCUUUCGGCAGGAACGAAACGGCGAGCUCUAACAUAGCUUGCUAAUGACGGUACCUGAAGAAGAAGCACCGGCUAACUACGUGCCAGCCGCCGCCGUAAUAC
rnacentral:rRNA from 1 species